rnacentral:rRNA from 1 species
AGCGAACGCUGGCGGCAGGCCUAACACAUGCAAGUCGAACGAACCCUUCGGGGUUAGUGGCGGACGGGUGAGUAACACGUGGGAACGUGCCUUUAGGUUCGGAAUAACUCAGGGAAACUUGUGCUAAUACCGAAUGUGCCCUUCGGGGGAAAGAUUUAUCGCCUUUAGAGCGGCCCGCGUCUGAUUAGCUAGUUGGUGAGGUAAUGGCUCAAAAAGGCUACGAUCAGUAGCUGGUCUGAGAGGAUGACCAGCGACAUUGGGACUGAGACACGGCCCAAACUCCUACGGGAGGCAGCAGUGGGGAAUCUUGCGCAAUGGGCGAAAGCCUGACGCAGCCAUGCCGCGUGGAUGAUGAAGGUCUUAGGAUUGUAAAAUCCUUUCACCGGUGGAGAUAAUGACUGUAGCCGGAGAAGAAGCCCCGGCUAACUUCGUGCCAGCCGCCGCGGUAAUAC